rnacentral:lncRNA from 1 species
GCUUUUAAAUGUAAAAGAAUGAGUUUUAUACUCAUAUGUUAUUUUAACAACCUUGGCAAACUCGGUUGGAUGCCUCGGCGUAAGGUGUCACCGAGUGCAAAUCUUGGCACGAGCCAAGUUUUUAUGAGAAUCAUAAGCCUUGUUGAUUUUUAUGAAAUGAAAUUGAUUUAUAUGAAAUGAAAUGAGAUUUGAUGUUAUGAAUCAUAUUAUGAUGAGAUAUUUUAAAUUGUCUCAAUUUACUUAGCUUUAGAUGUUGUAGAUGAACUUUUCGUACUCACUGGGUUUAUAAAAACUCACCACCCAUCUUUCACACAUUUUAGGCUCAGGGAAAUCUGUAGACCACUGAUUUUAUCGAGGGUUUGCUGUUGGAUUCGCACCCAUAGAAAUUGCAG